GAACCUUACCUGGUCUUGACAUCCACAGAACUUUCCAGAGAUGGAUUGGUGCCUUCGGGAACUGUGAGACAGGUGCUGCAUGGCUGUCGUCAGCUCGUGUUGUGAAAUGUUGGGUUAAGUCCCGCAACGAGCGCAACCCUUAUCCUUUGUUGCCAGCGGUCCGGCCGGGAACUCAAAGGAGACUGCCAGUGAUAAACUGGAGGAAGGUGGGGAUGACGUCAAGUCAUCAUGGCCCUUACGACCAGGGCUACACACGUGCUACAAUGGCGCAUACAAAGAGAAGCGACCUCGCGAGAGCAAGCGGACCUCAUAAAGUGCGUCGUAGUCCGGAUUGGAGUCUGCAACUCGACUCCAUGAAGUCGGAAUCGCUAGUAAUCGUGGAUCAGAAUGCCACGGUGAAUACGUUCCCGGGCCUUGUACACACCGCCCGUCACACCAUGGGAGUGGGUUGCAAAAGAAGUAGGUAGCUUAACCUUCGGGAGGGCGCUUACCACUUUGUGAUUCAUGACUGGGGUGAAGUCGUAACAAGGUAACCGUAGGGGAACCUGC
rnacentral:rRNA from 1 species